rnacentral:lncRNA from 1 species
AUGACAGGUCAUGAAUAAAUCAUCAAAUCUCAUCAUCGAUCAUAUGAUAGAUUCAAUCAGCUUGAGUUCAUAUGUGAUUCUUAUGAAUUUUUUUUUAUUAAUCACACUACUAUAGCUAUAGACUUAAGGACUCAGCUUCAUAAAUCUCAUAGGACUACUCUCUUCUAUUAGGAUCGAUAGAUUCCAUCUAGGUAUACACCAUACUCUUAUAGUGGACCAACUAUCAUCAAUAUCCAC